UGAAGCGGCCUGGUCUGCGUCUGUUUCACAUUUGAAUGCGACAGGAAAGGGAACUAGCUUUGGAGCAUGCGCUCAUUUGGGGAACCAGAGAUAUUGCUUAUGAAGAAAGGGAUACCGUUUCUGCUUGACCAUGAAGCUCCUCACCACAUGGGACAGAGACUUUGCUGCGCCAAAAGGUUAAAGCUUUCCUAUUUUGUUUAACAUAUAAAUUAAAGAGAAAAAAAAAAUAUGUCAAACAGGGAAACUGAAUAGUUUUAAAACUAUUGGAUCAUAGUCCAGCUUUUCUAAUUGGAUAAUGAAUGUAAAUUGUAGGUCAUAUUGCCUUAUUUUAACAAUACAAACAGGCAAGUAAUCUAAGUAAUUACUUUAAGACAACAAAUUCAAAGACACUCUGACCAGUUUUCCUAUAAAGGUUCCUUUAAUCCAGGUAAUUUAUUCAUGAACUAAACCACACCUGUGUAAGCAUAAGCCUUAACACCUUUGCUUCAAAGGAAGAUUUCUUGGCAAACCUGAUAACCACCCAGACUCCCUGGCCCCACAGAUGUUUUGGAAGGGCUAAUGGAACAAUAGUAAAUGGAAAAGACAUUUAGGAACAUUUAAAUAUUUCAAACAAAAUAAGUAAUAAGGAAAGUUCAUAGAAAUUAAGAAGACACUGAGACUAGAUAAAGAUAUCCUGAAUCAAACAAAUAAGUAAUAAAUCUGAUAACAUUAAGAAUAACUAAAAUGAACUAAAUUAAACCUCUGAUCUGCCAGCAUUUAACCAUACCAUGUUAUGUACCAAAAGAAAGGUACAUUUUAUAGGGAGGUAUAAAUUAGACCUAAUAUAAACUAGGAGUGAUAUGUCAAGUUUUAUUUCCUAAAAAAGUUAUAAUCAUUCAGAAAUUAAUACAUACACAAAGAAGACAGUGCUUAACACCUUUAAUACUCUGAUGUGUCAACUCUGAUAUGAACUAGCCAAUCAGAAACUUUCCAAAAUCAUAUAAAAACCAGAGCUUUAGCCACUAAAAUUGUUCUUCAAAAAUGGCUUCCAAGCUCAUUGCUGCAUCCAGAGAAUGUGAGCGGAGCGGUGACAAAACUUCGUUCAGUGCUCAUAAUAUCCACUCCGCUGUUUCUUUCAUUCCAUUCCACUGCUUGCGAUUCCCCCUUCAGACAAAAUAGGCAUGCUCCGCUCCACUCCGCUCACUCUGCACCAGUCUCCAAAAAUGGCUUCCAAGCUGUUAUUGUUUUACAGCAGCCGUCAAAUUGCUACACGGAGGAAUCCAGUCUUGCUGCCAUAAGUCCUUACUGCUUUAGCUAGAAAAUGCUAACUAUACUACAGAAACUUCACACAAGUAUAACUUAACAUUAAUGCUUCUUAAGGUUACCUAAAAAGAGAGAUGAGCCAUGGUAUAGAGUUAAAAUCCAUGCAUGUAUGUGAUUAUGUAGGUAGAAUUGCCACACCCCUUUUAUACAUUUCACAAUAUCAGCCUUUCUGCAAAUAUGAAGAGCAGCGGACAACAACUGGAAUUGCCAGCUGUAAGAACGACCAGAGAAAACACCUAAAAUGAUUCAAUAAACUUGGAAGAAGACUUUUAAAAAGACUUAAGAAGGAGCUCCAUUUCCAGGAUCGCCAUUGAGAAAAAAAAAGAAAAUGAAUAAAUAAUGAAUUAAUUGAAAGGCUGAAUUGGCCUACCGGAAUUUAUCAAGUUUACUGGAAAUAUAUUUGCUCUUAUUAAACAAAAGCGUGAAAGGACAUCACCCCGCCAAGUCAUCACACACUGUAUCUAUGCUGCAAUCUGAAUUAAGCAUUUUCUCCUAUUGAAAUAAAGAAUAGAGAAUUACAGAAACCAUACCUGGAGAAUGUAAUAAAUGGAUUUCUCUGACUAACUAGGCAAAAACUGAGAAAAGAGAAAAGCAUGUUUGCUUGUAACCUUGACUCGUUUUUCUCGAAAUUCAUUACUACAAUAACCCAAGUUGAAUUUCCACUCUGGAAUUCUAGGGAGUUAACAGAAAAGAUGAUGGGCCCCAAAUUUUAUCAGUGUUGCUAUGGAGAUGAGGCCAGCUUAUCUUCAACUCGCAUUUUAUCAUAAAUUACAGAUGCUGAAGUUUAAUUAUAAGGAUGCGUGACCUUUUACCUACUUAUAUGGUCCUACAAUUAGAUAACACAUACCUUAAUGUAUAAAUGUGAGUUUAAAAGUUGUUCUAGAAAUAAUUACGGUACUUUUGUUAAUCUGAUUGCAUCGAGUACAAUUUGAUUUGCUGUUAGGAAACUAUGAAAGAGUUCCUAUUGUAUUUUUGGUAACCUAUGGUAUUUUAGAGAAUGUCUUAUAUGUAUUUGGGAAUAUUGGGUUGGCAGGGAGGGGGCUGGAGUUGUAAAUUGAAUAAGUGAUUAAUUAGGCUCCAGUCACAGGUGUAUAAAAGGGGUGAUCACGGGUGUUAAUGUUAGAAUUAAUGUUGUUGAAGGUACGUGUUACUGUGUCACUGUGUCGCUGUGCUGGCUUUAUAUCCGUGAGUUUUGUAGACCUUUUGUUUUGGUCCUUGUGCUGUUUGCUUUGUUAAUGUGUUUUGUCUGUACUGUGCGAUAGCGCUUCACUGCAGCUUUCUUGUCUCUGAGUCUCUCUUCCUGCUGGUAACAGUUUGGCCGUGACGCUACCCUGCCGCAGUAAUACUAAAGUUUUUCUGACACACGCUGUAGUACUGGAAAAUACCUUAAAUGGGAAACUAAAAUCUUGCUCUCAACUAGGGGUUUUAAUCUUGACAUUUUCUAUCUACGAUUGAUUCAUCGAUCAAUCACACCAGUUUGCUAGUGAUAUGAAAUUGUAUGGAAAGACAAUUACAAGUAAUGACUUUUAGUGACAUAAUCUGAUAUUUUCUUUUGAAGUGUACCGUUUGCUUUUCCUUCAGCCAAAUGCCAUCUCUAAAAGAAAAAGAGUAAAAAUACAUCAAGAGAGUAUAUAUUACUGUAACUUACCAGUUGCACUACAACCUAGACUACUGUUUUUAACAUAUCUGCUUUUGGUAUACUGUAAGCCAGGGUUUCCCAAUCCUGGUCCUGGGGACCCACUGUGUCUGCUGGUUUUCUUUCUCAAUUACUUAGCUAGACCCUUUUAAAACUUAUUAGUCCUUAUGUGAAUUGCCCAAGUUGUAAUCAACAACAACAGUUGAGGUCUGUGACAGCGAAAGAAUGAAUCUUGGUUAUAAAUCUCCGUCUUGACCUGUGAGGGCACUGUGUAAAGGGAACAGAGUGUCCUGGACUGGAUGGCCUGACAAUUAAUUCCCAGGGUUAGGUUGAAGUUGGCCAUCUAGAAAGGGGGCAGAGCUACGGUACACCAAGUCAUCGCCCCAGAAGGGAAGCGAUGUGGCAACCUUGGAUUGGAGGAGAAACGGUUGCACUUGUUAACCAAGGGGGCGUGACUGACGGUAUAUAAGGGGACGUAGCAAGGUGAUCUGUUCCUUUGUUUAUGGUUAAGCUGAACCGGAAGGAGUACUGUGAAUUACCGAGUAAUUUGUUUGUUCUGUCAUGUCUAAAAAUCUACUUGUUUGUUAUUAUUAGAUGGCUAACACGAUCCGGAGCUGUCGGUUAAGGCCAGCACUAAACCUGGACAACACUGCAGCAUUGUACAUAGAUAAAUUGUAUUACACCACAAGCACUAUAGCACUCACUCUGGACUUGUGAGUGUGUGUGUCUUUGUGUGUGUUCUACUGUGUUUAUUAUUUACAAACUGUGUCUUAUUAUUUCAGGACUGCAACUCGUUGUUUUGGAACAGUGCAAUACACAUUGCUGUGUAUUGCCUGGGAUUAUUCACCAGACCAGGAUUAUAAAAAUAAAACCUGUUUGGAUCAUGAA